UUCAUUGUCAUUUACACUAAGUCCUCUCAUUGCUGCAGGGCAGUGCUCCACCUGGAUGCAGCUGCAAAGGUUUUUGGAAAGCUGAAGGCCUCUCAGUUCUACUGGAUUUCCAGGGAGCCCUCAGGCCUUUUGGCUUUGAGGGCUGUUUCCCUUCUAUCAGUAAUACAGUCCAGUGUUGCCCUCUGACAAAGGGCAGAAGUCACCAUUCAAGGCUAAGGUGGGCUUCCAGUUGCCUUACUAGAAGUAUUCAAGUCUCUUGAAUAGUGAGCUGAAAAGUCUACAGGAGAAGAGGGGUUCCUGUUUUCAUUUGAAAACUUUAAGAGAACCUUUAAAAACUAGCCUCAUACAUUUUGGUGCCCAUGUGGCUGUAGGUGUUUGCUGCUUUCCUUGAUGGAUAAUACUCUUACUGUUGUAACUAACAUGCUUCUUUGCCCUUAGCUAAGGCAUCCUUUCCCACAGGGAUGGCAUUGGGAUCAGAUGCUAAGGCUUUGGCUUCUGUGUAGUAUAUCUGUAUAUACCUGUCUUAAGCAACCUUUCUUUAAUGUUUUUGAUUGGUUUGUAUCUAAUACCUUGGUAGCUGAUAAUAAAGUUAAAAAUUCU